ensembl:lncRNA
GUGACUGUUUUCUUACAGCUUUCUCCACAUUUUGGCACUAAUGUAUAUAAAGAAACUUUAAUAGGAGGUUAAAUCAUAAAUACAUGAGAUAAAAAUUUUAAUUUGCAUACUAAUUUUACAUUUUAGGAUUCUGACUGGGAAGAUUUUUAACAUAUGCUUGCACAGUGGUCAGAGCGUAAGGAAGUUUAGCACAUUUCUGUUUACCAUUGAUAUUCUGCAUGCCGUGGGAGCAGUAAGUCAGGACUAUUGGCAUGCAUAUGAAAGCUUAUUCACCAAAGGAUAUGCUUUUGAUGUAUUAGCUAGCUAAAAAUGCAGAGAGGAAUUUGGCAGAAUUCUUCAAAGGAACACAAAUAAAAAUGCAGAGAGGAAUUUGGCAGAAUUCUUCAAAGGAAUACUUUUUUUUUAUUAUUUAACUUUUUUUCCAAAGAACAUCAACAAUUCAUUGGAAUCUUUGAAUUAUAAAAUUUAAAUUUCUCCACAGCAAGUCCAGCAUUGGUUCUCAGUAUCUGAAAAUGCCGCUGUUUGCUGUGGUGUAGGCUUUAAUUCAGCUUGUAGGUACUUAAAUCUCCCCUGCUGAUUUGAACAGCAGGUUUGGAAACACAUUUCUCUGAGAAUUUUUAGAGUGUGUAGAUUACAGAUAGUGGCAUACCUAGCUAAAGAGAUAAAGAAAUCAUAUAUCAUACUGAAGUACAUCCCUGGUGUUCUUUGAGAGCAACCGGAGUGCUUUGUGACUGAGUUUAUUUAGUAUUGGGACUCACAAGUAUAAACAGACGAGGAAGAACACUACAGUAAGUUAAACCAGACAAUGCAUCAUCAAACUCAACUUGUUUAAACAAUUACACAGUAAAAAUGGGAAUCCAGCAAGUAGGGCACAUAGAAUUUGAUUUUCUAAGGAGAAAAGAUUGAAAGUCACAGUUCAGUCAAAUGACACACAAAGAUUCAGUUGCAGAUAGCUCUGUGAGGACUGUAGAAGGAUGCAUAACCAACCAACCAGAAAACCAGCAGGUAUCAAACUCAUAAGUAAACCACAUAGUGAACAGCAUUAGAGAUAUUAGCCAGUCUAGUGGCAGUGGUCACAAGGCAAACCAUUUAAAGUAACCAUGAGAAAUUCAAUGUUGCUUUUCAGUGACUCUUCUGGAAAUGCUGAGUAGCCAGAAUUAAAGAAAUUACAUAGGAAGGAAUGAUACAAUGCUGACUUUAAAGAUUUUCUUUGUGUAUUUUCUUUUCUUCAUUAGCUAGAAACAAAAAUUAGGGAAAUAAAAUGUCUCUUACUGUGCUGUUCACCUGCUACCUAUUGAUGUUGCUUUCCUGCCGUCUUCUCCAUCUGCUUUAAAUUAAUUUCUGAAAUGUGCCCUCCUUAAAAUAAAUUCUUAUUAGUCUCAUAAGGAAAAAAAAAUAGCAAACAAAAAGACUUUUAGUUGAAUUGCAAACAAUUAGAACGCAAUUAGAAUGGGGAGAGGAGCAAGGAAAGAAAAACACAAUACCAAUUAUGAAUAAUCUAAGAAGGUAAUAAAAUCUGUCAGAUCCUGGGAUUUAUAUAAAAUUAUUAAUUUGCUUUUUCCAGGGAAAACUGAUUUUUUAAUUAACUAAACUUUUCAUUAGUGGUGGCAUUAGGAUUUUACUUGGUAUAAUUGAAAUGCUGUCUUAGGAUACUAAAUAGUAGUCGAAAAAUGUGAAAGUAUAUUAGUCAUGAAGACAUAAGAAAUGGCCUAAUUCAGCAAUACCCUCCCUUUUAUUCACCCACUUUGCAUUUCACCUGUUUGGUUUCUGUAGGAAGAUGAGAUCUAUCCAUGUCUGCAUAUAGAAUUCUCAUCUCUAACUCUUCAUACUGUUUAUACAUACACAUUCCUUUAGCAGAAAGGUAAUUUUCUUCCUAUUUCAAGCUUAUUGAGCCUUAGUAUAUAUAUUUUUAAUCCAAUUCCUCACUUUUUUUGCUAAGGAAUUUCUUCCGCUCACAUUUGUUUCAGUGACUAGACAUCAUGCAUUUCUUCUCUGUGACUUUUGGUCAUAAUCUCUAUUGCUGGAGAUAUACGGUGUUUCUGGGUUAUAUAGGUUUCUUUUAUUUAAAAAAUUCCAUUAAAAUUACUGAAAUUAGUGUAUUUUUGGAGGGUGAGUGUUGCAUAUAAGUUAAGACAGCUUAUCAGAAACUUAACAACAGUUUUGGUCCUGCUUUUGUAGCAGUACAGUGCAGCUAAAGUGGAAGUGAAUGUAAAAAGGACAGUUGUAAUUGAAGCAUAGAUUGCAUACACUAUGAAAUUAUUCUAUUAAGAACUGCAACCUUUGUUGCUGUAAUAUGUUGUAGUAGCAUAGCUUUGAAAUUAAGCAUGAUGAAAUUUAUAUACUAUGUUAACCUUGCAUAAAGGUUAGGAAGGAAAAAAUUUCCAUGUAAAAUGUGUUAAUUUUAUUUUUGGUGUUCUGUCUGAGGCUGCAGAAACAGGCCUUAGCCCAAGUAAGAGGGAGAGCAGGAGGUUUUUGCCAAGCUCCAAAUACACCUGCAGGUUGAGCGACUGCUGUGAGGUCUUUUCAUUAGCUAAUGGGGUGACAUUCAUCACUUUUGGCUGCCUUAUUCACUAUGUUUAAAUAGGGUAGGCUAUUCUUUCUCCAUACAUUUCUUGUCAUCUCCACUUGCUCUUUUCUGUAGUGUCUCACAUAAUUGGCCUACAAAGCCAAUUAUUGUUUUCUUAUAUUUGUGUGUAAUUAGAGAUAAAUUAGAUUUGGCUGUUGUACAGGCUAGAGUAGUGCUCUACUUUCUGGGCAAGUGACUACCAACAAAUGAAUUUAUAAAGGUCCACUAGAUUUGUGGGGAAGAGUCUUUCAGGUUGCAGGAAAAUGUUAUUUCUUUCCUUGACUUUCUGUUUCUGCAGAACUAAGGAAAUAACAAGGAGGCCAAGAAUAUUUUGACAUUCUAACAUUCACUUUUAUUAAUCAUAUGAAAACAUAUUCUGUGAUAUUCUAUAAUUUUGGGGAGUAAUUGCUGUCAGAUAAGAAGGAACACUGAAAAAAUUACAAAUGAAAACUCUGGUUUCUCUGCUACAUCUACUGUAAAUUUAGAAGACUGAAGAAAACGUUAUCAGUCAUCAGUGCACCAUGCUCCAGAAUGCUCUGUGUACAUAUUCAGUCUUUCAAGAGAGAUUUGGGUCUUCUAAGAGUCUACUGACAGCACUGUUCUGCAAUUUAAGCAAUUGAGUACACUAAAGGAAGCCAACCAUUUUCAGUAUUAAACAGAAACUUCUACAGGGUAAGAAGUGAGUUUGUAAAUGUCUUAAGAUUCAGUGCUGGCAAAUAUGAACAAGCAUUAGUUUGUGCCCAGAUUAUGACCUCAAGAUGAGACGACCUGUCAGUCUGAUGAAAUGUUCUGAUUUGAAUGUAAAAGUCAUGGUUUGCAAUGCAACUUCGGCCUGGGAAGUCCAUGUUUGAAACAGUGAUUCUUACAUGACUGCAAGGGAAAAAGCAGAUUACUCAAAAUUUUCCCUCUUUGUUUUAUCUCAUACUACAUAUUCUAGUAAAAUAGAAGACUUAACUUGCUGGUCAUUGGCUACCUUGAUUAAUAGGUAGAGCAUUAAAUGUCAUGGGGAGCCUAAGUUUGAUCCCUUGAGUGCAGAAGAGAAGGCAAUAAUCACAGUCCUGACUGUUGGCAAUAAUCACACUCCUAACUGGCAGCCCAGGAGGUGUUGGCUGUCUCUGCUACAAAGGUACGCUCUUUAUUUUUAUUCAGCUUCUUGCUCCCCACAGGUUUAGGUGUUAUUUUGUCUCCAGUGUAGCACUCUGAAUUUUUCUUUGUUGAACUAUAUGGUUAUCUGUUUUUUCAAAAAGGAAUUUGUUUGAAUUUUUAAGAGUUUAAAAUGCUUUAAUUUUUAUGCAAGUAAUUCUGAAUUAUAGACCUGCCUCAUGUUCUUUUCAGUCCCUGUAGCAAGUAUUUCCUUAUUUGUAAAAACACAUGCUUAUAGAUGUAACAAUUUUUAAUAAAAGAUUUAGAGUUUUUAGGGGGGUUGAAAUUUCUUAUGUCUCUCAACACUGUAUGAUGUUGAUUCAGUAUUCAAACUGUUAGAGAAAAAUGAUUCAAUAUACCUAAUAAGUGGAUUUUAAUGGUUUCUAAAGGGAAGGAAAUGAUUUAGCUCUUUUUCACUUAACAAUCUAAGGACAUAUGUAAAUGACACAUGGGAGUAAAAUCUAGGCUACAUAAUUGCCCUGUGUAAUUUCUAAUUCAAGUCCAGUUUAAGCAAGACAGAACAGAGUCACCAAAUCAAAUACUACUGAGUCUUAAAGGGCAAGAUAAAUUACAUGAAAUUUGCACAGUCUGUACAACGAAUGGAAAGUAUGUUCAGCUAGAAUUUUCCUCUCUAUGCUUGAUGGUAGUUGUGUAAGUUGCUGGGAGUCAAUGUGGCUCCAAACAUAAUCAUGGGUAGGAACAGGAAUCUCCAGAGAUGCCUGAGAAAGGUCAGACCAAUUGUUUUCCAGGCAUGCCUAUCUCUGUAUUGACUAUAACAGAGCCUAAGGUUACCUGCUGAAGAUUACCUGCUGAAAUUAAAUGAGUCUCUCACACAAACAUUUGAAAACACCUGGUAAUCAAUUUUAAAUACUCACACACUAAAAAAAAGGAAGUGUAUUUUUCAUCCAGAUUGCUGUUGCUUUACACUUUCAGUGUUUAAUUUAUGAAAUUCUCAAAAUUAGGGCACUUUUCAUCUAAGAAGUGCCCCACCACAAAGCUCUGCUUAUUAUAUAAUUAACUAUGGGCCCUCUCUUUGAAACAUUAAUAAUAAAAUCAGAUAGUAGUGCCAGUGUAUUUUUAAAUAACUAUUUAGGAUUCUUUCUAAGGUGACAGCAACAGUAUUUAGAACAGAAAAUUCAGAAAAAUUCAUUCAGAUUUAUAUGUUCUUUGAUUAAUUCUUAGAUAUAUCACUAUUCUGUAUAUACAUAUUUGUACCUAAGCCUAACAGCAUAUACUAAUACUCUGCCUGAUUCAAGAGUAUAUUGAUACAUUUAUAUUGAUACAUUUAUUUAUCUUAUAAAUAAAUUAUUUCCCUUUAUUAAAAAAUUAUCUUGCUGCUUGAGUUUCAUUCACACAGAAGCAUUCAUAGAACUCUUCAUUUUCUGUUGUUUGUAGUCUUAUAACACCUCUUUAACGAAUAAAGCAGUUCAUUAUAUAGGUUCAAAGAGAUGGUAAUGUUUUUGAUUUUAAAUUAUGGCAGCAAAAGCAAGAAGGCUUUUUAUUUAUUUCUUUUUAUUAAAAGAAGUUCAUUUUCAAAGAAUGUACAUACAUGUUUUAAUAUUUGAUACUGUCAAAGUCUUAGUGCUAGAUGCUGCACGGGUCUUAAAACUUGCUAGUUGUGGACUAAGACUAUGUCUUGACAUGAAAGCUGUAAAUGCCUGUUAAUUGCAAUGGUGUGUAAACUACUGCAAUUUCAUUAUGCUAAGAGAAAAAAUAUUGAUACAUCUGAGUAAGGAUCCUGAAGAUUUUGGGCAAUUAUGUCAGUACUGUGGAUUAAAAAAAUAUUAACGGAAAUGUACUUAUGUAGAAAUUAUCUUAAAAAAAUAUUUCAGAUAUUUUUACAAACCUAAAAACUUUGGCCAUGGGCUACUUGUAUGAUCAUUAAAAUACAGAGCCAACUUUAGACACAUGCAUAUUUAUAUUCCCAAGCACCGUGUAGUAAAGAAAAUGAAGUAUGAUAUCUUCCAAUGAAAUCAGAUUAGUAAUUUCAGGCAUGCAUGAUUUGUCACUGCCAAAUAUUUAUAAGACAUUUAUAUCUCUAGAACUCUGAUACUGCUUGAAAACAAUAAGAAAAAAAUUAAGAAAUUUGGAACUGGAUUGCAGUUCCAUGUGAAAGUGGGAAAUUGCUAAAUUCCUUUCUGGAGGUUGAAAUAAUCAUAAAAAAGAAAUAAUAAAACUACAGCUUGAAAUUGGCCUGCUAGAUCACGUCCGAGUCCUAGCUCUAAUCUGAUAUUCAAUAUAUGACAAUGAGCAGAUAUAAAAUCUUGAUGUAGAUAUUUGUUUCUAGUUAAUUUCUGAACCUUUUUAGUCUUGUAUUACAACAAAUUGAAUCUGAAGUCUCUCUUUUGUUUCAAAUUUUCGCACCGAAUCAUUCAGGAAAUUGGACCUAAGUGUCUCAGUAACUUUUUGUCUGUUGUACUGCUGAAUUUAAUCAUAACUGUAUUGCAUGCAGUCAUUGGCACAACCAAUGUACAAGCUUCACUAUGGACCACAUAAGGGAUUUCUCCUGUGGAUACUAUCACUGGAUCUUAAGCAGCCCUGCAGAUUAGAUUUGACUUCAUUUUUAAAUACUAGUCUAAUUAUCCCUACAGAGUAAAUUGCAUGGUAUUUCGUUUGACUACUUUGAAAGCCUAAGAUCUGAGAUUGCUUUGCAGCAAUUUAAAAUUUGCAUUUCCAGGGAGUUAUUGAAACCAUAUGUUUAACCACUAAAUUGCUUUUAUAUCUCAACUUUUCUCCUAGAUAGGAAUAUCCCUUAUGAGUAUAUUGAGACAAAUGGUAAUUAUUGUUAUACAGAAGAUAGAUGAAAUUAAUAUUAAAGCCAGAGAAAUAUCUCAAUUUUAGUCAGUGAAUUUUCCAGGUCUGUGUAAAAAUAACUCAUUUGGUGUUUUCACAGUAAGGAUUUCUGAACCCAAAUAUAUACAACAUGACAUACAAUGUUUGGUAAGAUGAAACUAAAGCAACAGUAGAAGAUGACUGAUCUCUGUUAAAGAGGGAAGCAUACAAGUGUUCCCCUAUAAUGAUGUUGGUAAUUCUUUUGGCUGUUGAGCAAGUAAUCCAUGACAUCAAGGAUGUAACUAUCCGAGCUUUUGUCAACAUCAGCAUUGUUAACAUUAACAGAACUAUGCUUGUAAAACAAAGAUAAGAAGCAUGACUAAAGGGAAUCUCCUGUCUCAUAUGAAGUUUUAAGUGUUGGGGAGUAUUUGGGGGCUAUUACUUACUGACCCUGGAAUCAACUAGUAGAAACACAAUGGAAUUUUUUCUUUUGAAGUACACUAUGGAUAAAUGGCAGCUGUUUUCCUCAAGGCUCUCAUUCUUCUAAUCUAUCCUUAAGAGGAAAUCAAUAGUUUCUCUCAGAGGCUUUCAAGGCUGUCUCCCAUGUCAGGCGGAAAGCAAAAAGAAGAAACAACUUGUUUCAAGAACCAGAGAUGUUGAGAAACUUCAACAGCCUGCAGACCUAUCAUCUUUCUUAUUAGAUUUGCUGUUUUCAAAGAAAAAAAAA